rnacentral:rRNA from 1 species
GAUUAACGCUAGCUGUGCGCCUAACACAUGCAAGUCGAGCGAUGAAAGUUUAACAGAUUUCUUCGGAAUGAAGUUAAAGUGGAUUAGCGGCGGACGGGUGAGUAACGCGUGAGCAACCUGCCUUAAACAACGGGAUAGCCUCGGGAAACCGGGAUUAAUACCGUAUGAGACCCCGCCUUCACAUGAAGAAGAGGUUAAAGAUUUAUCGGUUCAAGAUGGGCUCGCGUCUGAUUAGCUAGUUGGUGAGAUAAAAGCCCACCAAGGCAACGAUCGGUAACCGGCUUGAGAGAGUGAACGGUCACAUUGGAACUGAGACACGGUCCAAACUCCUACGGGAGGCAGCAGUGGGGAAUAUUGCACAAUGGGGGAAACCCUGAUGCAGCGACGCCGCGUGAGCGAUGAAGGAAUUCGUUUCGUAAAGCUCUGUCCAAGGGGAAGAUAAUGACAGUACCCUUGGAGGAAGCCCCGGCUAAAUACGUGCCAGCAGCCGCGGUAA